CCUACGGGUGGCAGCAGUAGGGAAUCUUCCACAAUGGGCGAAAGCCUGAUGGAGCAACGCCGCGUGGGUGAAGAAGGUCUUCGGAUCGUAAAACUCUGUUGUUAGAGAAGAAAGAGCGUGAGAGUAACUGUUCACGUUUCGACGGUAUCUAACCAGAAAGCCACGGCUAACUACGUGCCAGCAGCCGCGGUAAUACGUAGGUGGCAAGCGUUAUCCGGAUUUAUUGGGCGUAAAGGGAACGCAGGCGGUUUUUUAAGUCUGAUGUGAAAGCCUUCGGCUUAACCGGAGUAGUGCAUUGGAAGCUGGGAGACUUGAGUGCAGAAGAGGAGAGUGGAACUCCAUGUGUAGCGGUGAAAUGCGUAGAUAUAUGGAAGAACACCAGUGGCGAAGGCGGCUCUCUGGUCUGUAACUGACGCUGAGGUUCGAAAGCGUGGGGAGCAAACAGGAUUAGAUACCCCAGUAGUC
rnacentral:rRNA from 1 species